AGGAACAGAGAACAAUUCACAUUGCUGGAAAGUCCUUUGAUUCUGAACUUAGCAAACACCAAAUAAAGCCGGCAUUUCUACACGUAAAACCGCGGAAAAAGAGGCCCCCAACGCAGCGAUCGAUUCCAGCUAUGAAUUCUACAUGGCAGCAAAAAGCAACAAGAAGCCCUUGGUCAAAGAGGGUGAUGGAGGCUGGAAAUAUGCUGCACCAGCUUCUGGCACAGUGUUCCCCGGGAGUGUCCUACAAAGGUACUGGCAGCAUGGAGGAAGCGUAUGGCUGGAGCUGUCUGCCAAAGCGGCGUGCUUUUGGAGGACUGCUGUAAAUGGAACCCUUUGCAAGAACAAAAGACAUUUAGCUUGGGGGAGCAGUUUUGGAAAAAUCGACGGCAAAGACGCAAAAUGAUCCCGGAACUAUGAGAGAUGGGUCAUAACACCAUUCGUACUCUUUCACCUGAAGAUCCCGCUAGUGGAGAUGUGCCCUUGGGGAAUCAAAGACAGAAAGAAAGGUAUUAUUGCAUCUACCAACUUAGUCAUAACUGAACUUUGUAGAGUAGCCCCAAAGUAGAAACAAAGUGAGUCUCCCUCAACUGGAGAAUGGCUAACCAAAAAUAUGGCAUAUGGAUGAAAUGAAAAAUGAGUGCCAUCUCACAAGUCAGAGAAACAUGAGAUUGUAUGAAAUGAGGAAGAGUGAAGUUAAGCAGGACCACCGGAAUAAGCUACACAGUGUUUUACAAGGCAAAUGAAAAUAUCCCUGAAAGUCAGCUGACCUGAGAUUAAGUACAAUGGACAACUUUGUUUUGGAGACAUAUUUCUCUCAGAAUAUUUAAGCUAUUUUCUCUUUAUUUUUAAAAUCCUUUUUUACUUUUUCAAUUCAUAAGCAUUUAUUUUCUCUCUCUAUCAUAUUCCCUGCUUCCAUGAAAAAGAAAAUAAACCUUUUUAAUAAUA